rnacentral:rRNA from 1 species
AUUGAACGCUGGCGGCAGGCCUAACACAUGCAAGUCGAGCGGAUGAAGGGAGCUUACUCCUGGAUUCAGCGGCGGACGGGUGAGUAAUGCCUAGGAAUCUGCCUGGUAGUGGGGGAUAACGUCCGGAAACGGGCGCUAAUACCGCAUACGUCCUGAGGGAGAAAGUGGGGGAUCUUCGGACCUCACGCUAUCAGAUGAGCCUAGGUCGGAUUAGCUAGUUGGUGGGGUAAAGGCCUACCAAGGCGACGAUCCGUAACUGGUCUGAGAGGAUGAUCAGUCACACUGGAACUGAGACACGGUCCAGACUCCUACGGGAGGCAGCAGUGGGGAAUAUGGGACAAUGGGCGAAAGCCUGAUCCAGCCAUGCCGCGUGUGUGAAGAAGGUCUUCGGAUUGUAAAGCACUUUAAGUUGGGAGGAAGGGCAGUAAGUUAAUACCUUGCUGUUUUGACGUUACCAACAGAAUAAGCACCGGCUAACUUCGUG